rnacentral:rRNA from 1 species
GACGAACGCUGGCGGCGUGCUUAACACAUGCAAGUCGAACGAGAAUCUGUGGAAAGAGGAUUCGUCCAAUUGAAACAGAGGACAGUGGCGGACGGGUGAGUAACGCGUGAGGAACCUGCCUUUCAGAGGGGGACAACAGUUGGAAACGACUGCUAAUACCGCAUAACGCAUAGAGAUCGCAUGGUCUUUAUGCCAAAGAUUUAUCGCUGAAAGAUGGCCUCGCGUCUGAUUAGCUAGUUGGCGGGGUAACGGCCCACCAAGGCGACGAUCAGUAGCCGGACUGAGAGGUUGAACGGCCACAUUGGGACUGAGAUACGGCCCAGACUCCUACGGGAGGCAGCAGUGGGGAAUAUUGGGCAAUGGGCGCAAGCCUGACCCAGCAACGCCGCGUGAAGGAAGAAGGCUUUCGGGUUGUAAACUUCUUUGUCAGGGACGAGAAGAAGACGGUACCUGACGAAUAAGCCACGGCUAACUACGUG